rnacentral:snoRNA from 1 species
GUCGACGUACUUCAUAGGAUCAUUUCUAUAGGAAUCGUCACUCUUUGACUCUUAAAAUGAGCCAUUGAAUCCAACUUGGUUGAUGAGCCAAAAUACCUUCAUGCCCAAAAGUGAGAACCACAGAAUAAUGUAUUGAAAGUUUACGCCAGUUUGGUUCCGUAAUCCUUAGCGGUUCGGUCAUCUGGUUUUCUUUACGCUUUUUGUUUUGCUGUUUGCUGUAUUACUUUUGUAAUACGUUAAAAAUGGCGCGAUGAUCUUGGCCCAGUCUGUGAGCUUUUCUUUGUAGAAGUGACAGUAUAUAUCUGGGUGGGUGUGAAUGGCAGUCUGACAAGU